GUUGAGGCACCAGCCACAAUGCUCAGAGGAAUCGGGCAGUAAACUUGAUCUUCAGUGCUCCUUCAGACUGAACCCCUAGUCACAGCAGAAUCUCGACUUUCGCAUUUCUUUGCAAAACAGCUUAACAAUCUUGCAAGGAAACAUCAACUAUGCAAAGAUUCUCAAUGAUCUCUACCUGUCCAGAAACAGGCUAACCUGUAAGUCGAGACUCAUCAGCAUCGAGCAACAAUAGUCAUACUGACAUAGUUACAUAACAGGAGCACCCGAACGUCGCCCUUAAUCCUCCAGUGUCUGCUAAUAUAUUCUCAAACCAGAAUCCAACCAAGUAAGCAUCUGUAGAUUUGUGCUGAAGCGUAUGCUUUCAGCAUAGUGAGACGCUAGCAAUGGCUGUUUCCGUCUGUUAUGUGUAAGCACCAGUAAAAGCACCAUUAGAGAUAAAACCCA